rnacentral:lncRNA from 1 species
ACCUUAAUUUGGGAUAAAACUCCUAAUGUCUACAAGGUCUACAAAUAUUAACAUACAAUACUACAAUUCAAAUAAUGAAACUUAAAAAUAAGCUAACAUAACAUGAAAUAAGUAAAUAAAAAAUAAAAUAAAAAUAAACUACCUAAGGCCCUGCAACAGAAACAGGGGAGGCAACAGGUGGGUCGGGAGCACAGCAGCAGGCUCGGAUCAGG